rnacentral:lncRNA from 10 species
CCCGUCUCUACUAAAAAUACAAAAAAUUAGCCGGGCGUGGUGGCCUGCGUCUGUGGUCCCAGCUACUUGGGAGGCUGAGGCAGCAGAAAGGCGUGAACCCAGGAGGCGGAGCUUGCAGUGAGCAGAGAUCACGCCAUUGCACUCCAACCCAGGAGGCGGAGCUUGCAGUGAGUGGAGAUCACGCCAUUGCACUCCAGCCUAGGAGCUCGCAGUGAGGAGGCUGUUGCUCACAGAGGACAGGUGACUCAGCCAGAGCCACAGAGUCAGGAUUUCAAUCCAGGGCUGCUGGAUUACAGAGCCCAGUCUCUGAAUCACCAGCCUUUCUGACUCCUGCAGAAGAGGGCUAUGUUUGUGUCCAUGCAUGUGCCUACGUAUCUUUGACUGAGAGAUGUGAAUGACAGUUUCCCUUCCCAGUUCCACAUACUCCAUGACUAGUUUCACUCUCAGAGGAGGAUUUUGUUCUUCAAUUGUGGAGUGAUCUCUAUCACCAGUGACUAAAGCAGAUGUUGGAGCACAGAGAGCCAUACCCCAAAAUAUGAUGCUUCGGCAUGCUGACUGCUUUGAAAAUUGAAAGGCCUCAGAAAUAAUCCUCAGUGCCAGGGUCUCCCUCUGACCUCCCCCUACCUCCCUUUCUCUCUGAUCCUGUCUCUCCCAAAGCACAGAAUGAAGCUGUUCUCUGAAUUCCCUUAUCUACCUAGAAACUGGACCCCCAAAGAGGAACACAAUUUGCCUUUGAUCCCUUCCCUGAAAUUUCAUUAACCAGAGAAAAUUAAAACUUCUAUCACAAAGGAAGAGACUGAACAUUAAACACCAUAGCUACAGCCCAGACAAACUUCUUCCCAAACCAUUGUUUGUUCUCCUGCCUGUUAAAUUGCCAGAGAAUCAUUCACAAGAUAAAGUCUGCCUUCUGGGUCCAUUCAUUCCCCACUAAAAAUCUUUUACUCCUACACCCUCAUGUCUCCUUCCUCCAUGAAGAAGGGUCUAUAAACCUCUAGGCCUCAUUGGGUUAUUGGGUAAUCAUUCUCAUGCAGUUCCCCUGUGCUCUGCAUGUUAAAUAAAUUUGUAUGCCUUUUUCUCCUACCUGCCUUUUGUCAUUUUCAGUGAACCUUCAGAAGGUAAAGGCAGAAGCUUUCCUUCUUUGCCCCUAUAGUGUCAACAACAGCCAGCCAGGCAAAGGGUUUCAGAAACCCAAGUGGGAUUAAGAUGAUUAGCCACAUGGCUCUAUUCUACAAACUAGUGGUCAGAAUAACAAGCGUUUGCUUAUUAGGAGGUCGAGGUGGGAGAA